rnacentral:rRNA from 1 species
UACAGAGGUCCCAAGCGUUGUUCGGAUUCAUUGGGCGUAAAGGGUGCGUAGGCGGCGCGGUAAGUCGGGUGUGAAAUCUCGGGGCUUAACUCCGAAACUGCAUUCGAUACUGCCGUGCUUGAGGACUGGAGAGGAGGGUGGAAUAGCCAGUGUAGAGGUGAAAUUCGUAGAUAUUGGCUGGAACACCGGUGGCGAAAGCGGCUCUCUGGCCCGGUUCUGGACGCUGAGGCGCGAAAGCGUGGGGAGCAAACAGGG